UGACUGCAGGUGAUCAGCCCACCUUGA
rnacentral:piRNA from 1 species